GACGAACGCUGGCGGCGUGCUUAACACAUGCAAGUCGAACGGAAAGGCCCUGCUUUUGUGGGGUGCUCGAGUGGCGAACGGGUGAGUAACACGUGAGUAACCUGCCCUUGACUUUGGGAUAACUUCAGGAAACUGGGGCUAAUACCGGAUAGGAGCUCCUGCUGCACGGUGGGGGUUGGAAAGUUUCGGCGGUUGGGGAUGGACUCGCGGCUUAUCAGCUUGUUGGUGGGGUAGUGGCUUACCAAGGCUUUGACGGGUAGCCGGCCUGAGAGGGUGACCGGCCACAUUGGGACUGAGGUACGGCCCAGACUCCUACGGGAGGCAGCAGUGGGGAAUAUUGCACAAUGGGCGGAAGCCUGAUGCAGCGACGCCGCGUGCGGGAUGACGGCCUUCGGGUUGUAAACCGCUUUCGCCUGUAACGAAGCGUGAGUGACGGUAAUGGGUAAAGAAGCACCGGCUAACUACGUG
rnacentral:rRNA from 1 species